rnacentral:rRNA from 1 species
CAGUCGCCGCGGGAAUACAGAGGAUGCAAGCAUUAUCCGGAAUGAUUGGGCGUAAAGCGUCUGUAGGUGGCUUUUCAAGUCCGCUGCCAAAUCCCGGGGCUCAACCUCGGAACUGCCUUUGAUACUGGGUAUCUUGAGUCCGGGAGAGGUUGGUGGAACUCCGAGUGUAGAGGUGAAAUUCGUAGAUAUUCGGAAGAACACCAGUGGCGAAGGCGGCCAACUGGCCCGGUACUGACGCUGAGGUGCGAAAGCGUGGGGAGCAAACAGGAUUAGAUACCCGUGUAGUCCCUGUCUCUUAUAC